rnacentral:tRNA from 3 species
GGGCCUUUAGCUCAGCGGUAGAGCAACGGACUCAUAAUCCGUAGUGCGUGGGUUCGAAUCCCACAGGGCCCA